rnacentral:rRNA from 1 species
AUUGAACGCUGGCGGCAGGCCUAACACAUGCAAGUCGAGCGGAGCGGCGGACGGGUGAGUGAUGCCUAGGAAUCUGCCUGGUAGUGGGGGAUAACGUCCGGUAACGGGCGCUAAUACCGCAUACUCUCAGCUGAGCCUAGGUCGGAUUAGCUAGUUGGUGGGGUAAAGGCAUACCAAGGCGACGAUCCGUAACUGGUCUGAGAGGAUGAUCAGUCACACUGGAACUGAGACACGGUCCAGACUCCUACGGGAGGCAGCAGUGGGGAAUAUUGGACAAUGGGCGAAAGCCUGAUACAGCCAUGCCGCGUGUGUGAAGAAGGUCUUCGGAUUGUAAAGCACUUUAAGUUGGGAGGCGUUACCAGCAGAAGAAGCACCGGCUAACUCCGUGCCAGCCGCCGCGGUAAUAC